GUGCUAACAUGGGCCGCUCCAACACCUUUCGUCCUGCCCCGCUAGGUUUCUCAACCCUGGAACACACCCCUCCCCUAUCAUGCCGCCAAACACGCAGGCGACGGAAUCAUCGGCACCUUCGUUCCCCUUCGUCGUCGUGCUUCCCGAAAAACCGCACAUCGCCUGCGGUCCCUCUCCCAUCUGCACGCCGCCCCUCUCCCAGAGCUCGUUGGCCCAGAUCGAGGCCCCUCCCAGGUCUGUGCGCCGCCGGCAGCCCGCCCGUGUGCGUGCUCUACGCCGUCCCCGACCUCGAGAUCUCAUCGCCCACGAGACGACUCCAGGACCCCGGGUUCGUCAGCAGGCUUGUGUUGAGGCGCCGCCGCUGGCGAGGCCUUCGGUCUUUCCCCUUCGUGCCGCGAGACCAUGGCCGUCGUCGUCGCUCCGACGGAGACAGCUCUGCCCGCGGCGGACGGCUCUACAGAAAAAGAGGAGUAGUGCCGCAUGUCCAAGAGAAAGAUGCCCCACGCCUCAGGCUCUUGCCUCCUGCCGCAGGAAAUUGGUUAUGCGAGUCUGCCACAAGGAGGUCAAGAAGCUGCCUCCACCUCUCCUAGGUCAAAGCCAAUACUAUCAACAUAGCAGCACUGGCAGCCCAUCAGGAUCUUGCUUGCUCCCUCCCAGACGUUAAGAAUUUAUAUCUGCAACUCAUUGUCGUGAACCUUCUAGACAGAAAUUACAUCUGACUCUUCCUUUCCAUUGACCUAAGGUGAUUGGGUAUUGUUUAUGUCUUUAUUUAUGAAGUGAAUAAGAGAAAGUUUUGGAUUUAUAUAUGCUAAAAUGCUUUAGAAGUUUAGCUCUUCUGCAUGUUCUGUUCUACCCUGCUCUGCUGCGUCAGGAGUUGCCUGCAAGGUGUUUCCUGAAAUGAUUUAGCUAUUCUUCUCUGAAGCAUGGGGCCUUCACUCAGCAGGAUUUCUUCAGGAAACAAGCGCACCAUCAGAACAGUACAUUGGAUGGUGGUGGGCAACGACAUCGUGCACUCAGAGAUGCCGGUGUGAAGAAGAGCCCGCAGGUCUGGAUCAACCUCGCCUCCAAGGGCAAGAGCAAGCCAAUAUACCAGGAGCUGUACAGGAAGUACAUAAGACAGGCCUCGAAGGAUGGUGUCAACAUCCGCAUCAUUGCCGGUGAGACCUCUGGAUGAGGUGUAGGGAGAGCAUGGUGAUGGUGUAGGGAUGCAAUGCUGCUUCAAGUUUUUGCUCUUUUCAUGCUUGCAUCUGAGGGACAUCAGAUGAGUGAAAAUGAAUGGCAGCGAUAUGAAAAGGAAUGAACAUAUUGUCAAAAGAGCACAUCUUGACUAGGCCAUUUUGCCGCUGAAAAACAGAUAGACCACCAUGUAUCUUCACUGAGGGUUGCAGCCAUCGAUGGAGAUCAAGGUUCCAAGGAGACUUCCACCGAGAGGGUGGAGCUAUUGGUGACAUGAAAGAGUGGAAGGUAGUUUUAGUAUUCAUUAGUCUGCCAACAAGUAGUAUUAAUUUUUAUUUGUCCUGCUAUUAGUAGCUCCCUUUUUUAUAUCUGCAAGUAGGUACUGCCGAAGAUUGCUAUGAUGCAAUCUAUUAAAGAACUUUCUAGAGAUGCUUUCACAGCUCAUCAUGUAGAUUCAAUAUCAGAAGAGGAUCUAAUUUGGCCACUGCUAUGUUGAAUAUGCUUUGGAUUGGUAAGUAUAUAUUUUGCACAUUAUGAGAAAAGGAUGUGGGAUGACAAUUCCCAUUUUGGUCAGGACACUUUGUGUUUCUCUUAUCAGUUCCUAUUGUUUGGUUAAAUUUCAUGUUUGGUUGCGCCAACUCCACUAUUUCCUAUCUCCAGUGUGAAAAGUUCUUAUCAUUUGAGGUAUCCGAAGUUCGGAAUCUAAAUUCCUAACAAGUUUUCAACAAUGUUCUCUAUUUGAUUUUUGCUGAUGUGAUGCUUAAUCAGAUUAUUUGGCGUAUUUUUUCCUAUUUCCACCGUAUGUAUUCACCAAAGAGGAAACUUUCAUUGCAGCUCAGUUUUACUAUAGGAUAUAUAUCAUUCAGUUUUAGCUAAGGAGGACCUCAAGUGAGCAAAGUUAAGCAUGAGAAAGAAGCUAGGAAGGAGUAACGAAGUCAUCAAAAAAGCCAUUUUAGCCUUUGGAAUACAAAAAAACUAAAUGCUCUUUUAUUGGGUCCUACUUAUACAUCACGAGUGACCUCAAUGAGCCAGGAUGGCUGCACAGUCCAUAUCAGAAGGUGAUAGCAAACUGGUGGUUGAGAAUUGGUUUCUGCUUCCCUGGGUUGCAAUAUCAUUCUUGUUAUUAUUCCCGAAUGCCACUGGCAAAGAUGGUACCAAGAUCAGGGUCAAAAUUUCUUUUAUCGGGGUAAAAAGAUGGUACAAAGCUCAUCAAAGGGACCAAGGUUCAUAAGGGUGCAAUUGUUGAACUUGAUAGUACUACCAUCGGUUCCUAAGGAUGUAGUGCCCCCGAUUCAGUCUAAUAUAUCCCAGGUGUUAUCUGUCCCUAAGGAUCAUACUACACUGGCUAAUAAGGCAUUAAAGGUUGCGGAGUAUAAGUGUAAAACCAUCUCCACUAUCCACUGCUCUGGUUGUGCGUAUUAUGGCCAUCUGGUCAAGGAUUGUUAUAGGACUGCAUUAGUGAAGAAAAAGAAGUGGAUUCCUAAGCGGCGUGAUCCUAUGCACAUUUAGCAACAACAACAUCUUGGUCCCCAACAGGAGCAACAUAAUCAUAUUUUGGCUUUUCAGUUGUUGCCUGAUACUGUGGAUCAUUCAACGCUGGGAGAUUUGAGUAUUGUCAUUGUGACUGAAACAAGUUCGGACUCUAAGUUCAUGGAUGCUAUCGAUUCAUUAGUGCUACAAGCUGAUGCUACCGAGUUGGAGGAGUUAGGUUUUCGCAUUGAUUAUGAUAAUGGCUGGAGUCUGAAUAUUUGGCUGCCACACAAAAAAAUCUUGGGCUGAAACUCCAGGGGCUUUUGUUCUUACAGAGCAUGGGGAUCUGGACAUGGAGCAGGAAAAUGAGGUUCUUGAACUUGCAAUUGCCAAGGGGACUGGAAGAGGUGCUUCUGUGUGAUGUUGGGCCCGAUCUUCUGAGCUUGGGUUUUAUCGCCGAGGAAGCGUCUGGGUCAAUUUCUGUUGAUGGCUCUCAAGGUUCAGUUUCUGAAGCUGAUUCUGGGGUGGUGUCUGCAGUUCAGAGAUGUGGGCGCUCACGGACUAGCAAGGCGGAGACACCCUUGGUGGUACUCACAGGUGAAGAGGUGUACCCGCAACAAUAAGGAAGGCUACCUCGAACAAGUUCUUCCCAAUCAGCCGCCACGGUCGCAAGAAGUCCAAGGUUCCAAAAGCCUCCCCGCCUGAAGUUAUGCAGAUUGAGGAGAUGCAGCUUAUCGGCGUUGAAAAAUGCCAUAUCGAUCCGGCUGAGCUGACCGCUGAUCCCCUGAUGCAAGGUCGUGAUGACCAGUAGUUUCUCUUUUCUGUAAUAAUAUUGCUUAGACCUUGUUACUUUUGAGUUUGCAAUGAACCGUGAUCGUGUGUGAAAUAUCUUAAGUUGGAAUA